CGGAGCUGUGGACAACCAUAAUGUAUGCAACUCUUGGAGAAAAAAGAAGAGAACACGUGAGGCUAACAAGUGGAAGGAAGAAGCAAAUGUGUCAAAGAGAGAGUGGUAAUCAUUUUCUUGCAGAGGACAAGGCAGGAAAUUGACCUGAGAACAAAAAAGGCAAAUGCCCGUGCAGAUUCCAUGAGGCCACAUGGCGCACCAGAGCGGAGGGCAAACACAGGCACUCAGGUUCUUUUAAAUUGCUGUUUGUUAAUCACUCUCAACUACUGGACAUUUAUGGGUAUUCCUUUGAAUUUCAACAAUUUGGUUGCCACUAAACAAACACAUCUGUCACAGUAGAAUUUUUCUCUACCAGGAAGCUUUUUCACCGCAACAGAAUAGAAGCACUCAUGGAAGUCCUUGAGGCAGUGAUUCACGCACCCACCGCUGUGUGACUGAUGAAAACACACACAGAGACAAGCAAUGGAGUACAGAGCAUGCUGCAGCCAGCACUGCCCCACGCUGCCUACCAGCUUGAAGACGCCAAAAGCCUCAGAUCAAAUUCUCCCAGCCAGAGUUUCAUAUUUAUCCAGAUCCUGAUGGGAAUACAGAUAAAAAUCAUAAUUUACCCAACCCAAGCAGGGUAAAGCCAAGUGAUUCAUU